AUACAGAGGGUGCAAGCGUUAAUCGGAAUUACUGGGCGUAAAGCGCGCGUAGGUGGUUUGAUAAGUUGGAUGUGAAAUCCCCGGGCUUAACCUGGGUCGGCCAUUCAAAACUGUCAGGCUAGAGUAUGGUAGAGGGUAGUGGAAUUUCUAGUGUAGCGGUGAAAUGCGUAGAUAUUAGAAGGAACACCAGUGGCGAAGGCGACUGCCUGGACUGAUACUGACACUGAGGUGCGAAAGCGUGGGUAGCGAACAGGAUUAGAUACCCUAGUAGUCC
rnacentral:rRNA from 1 species